rnacentral:rRNA from 1 species
UACGAAGGGGGCUAGCGUUGCUCGGAAUCACUGGGCGUAAAGCGCACGUAGGCGGCUUUUUAAGUCAGGGGUGAAAUCCUGGAGCUCAACUCCAGAACUGCCUUUGAUACUGAGAGGCUUGAGUCCGGGAGAGGUGAGUGGAACUGCGAGUGUAGAGGUGAAAUUCGUAGAUAUUCGGAAGAACACCAGUGGCGAAGGCGGCUCACUGGCCCGGUACUGACGCUGAGGUGCGAAAGCGUGGGGAGCAAACAGGG